GACGAAGGGGGGCUAGCGUUGUUCGGAAUUACUGGGCGUAAAGCGAGUGUAGGUGGUUGUCGUAGUCAGGCGUGAAAGCCUUGAGCUCAACUCAAGAAAUGCGCUUGAUACUGGGCAGCUAGAGGACCGGAGAGGAUAGUGGAAUUCCCAGUGUAGUGGUGAAAUACGUAGAGAUUGGGAAGAACACCAGUGGCGAAGGCGGCUAUCUGGACGGUUUCUGACACUAAGACUCGAAAGCGUGGGGAGCAAACAGG
rnacentral:rRNA from 1 species